rnacentral:rRNA from 1 species
AAUGACUCUCGGCAACGGAUAUCUCGGCUCUCGCAUCGAUGAAGAACGUAGCGAAAUGCGAUACUUGGUGUGAAUUGCAGAAUCCCGUGAACCAUCGAUUCUUUGAACGCAAGUUGCGCCCGAAGCCUUUUGGCCGAGGGCACGUUUGCCUGGGCGU